rnacentral:rRNA from 1 species
CCUACGGGAGGCAGCAGUAGGGAAUCUUCCACAAUGGACGAAAGUCUGAUGGAGCAACGCCGCGUGAGUGAAGAAGGGUUUCGGCUCGUAAAGCUCUGUUGGUAGUGAAGAAAGAUAGAGGUAGUAACUGGCCUUUAUUUGACGGUAAUUACUUAGAAAGUCACGGCUAACUACGUGCCAGCAGCCGCGGUAAUACGUAGGUGGCAAGCGUUGUCCGGAUUUAUUGGGGGUAAAGCGAGUGCAGGCGGUUCAAUAAAUCUGAGGUGAAAGCCUUCGGCUCAACCGGAGAAUUGCAUCCGAAACUGUUGAUCUUGAGUGCAGAAGAGGAGAGUGGAACUCCAGGUGUAGCGGUGAAAUGCGUAGAUAUAUGGAAGAACACCAGUGGCGAAGGCAGCUCUCUGGCCUGCAACUGACGCUGAGGCUCGAAAGCAUGGGUAGCGAACAGGAUUAGAUACCCCGGUAGUC